CCCUUAGAUGUCCUGGGCUGCACGCGCGCUACACUGAUGCGCUCAACGAGUUUACGAUCUUGCCUGAAAUGGCUGGGUAAUCUUUUUAAAACGCAUCGUGAUGGGGAUAGAUUAUUGCAAUUAUUAGUCUUGAACGAGGAAUUCCUAGUAAGCACAAGUCAUCAGCUUGUGUUGAUUACGUCCCUGCCCUUUGUACACACCGCCCGUCGCUCCUACCGAUUGAAUGUUCCGGUGAGCUCUUCGGACUGCGCGGUCUGCAGUUUCUGCGCUCCGUGCGGAAAGUUGCGCAAACCUUAACAUUUAGAGGAAGGAGAAGUCGUAACA
rnacentral:rRNA from 1 species